GAAACCUUUACAUUUUAUUUUAUUUAAAAAACAACUUAAAAAAGCGAUAUUUCAAUCGCUUAUAUAUAAAAUCAAAACAUACUUCAGCGUUUCCAGUUACGUCACGAGCGCUUUCAUCAUAAAGGGAUGCGUAUUUCCGUCGUAGUUUGACUUGCAUCAUAUUGCAUAAUGUAUUUGCAAGAAGAAAUGAGUGUUUAUUAAAGUAAACAGAAUAGGCUUCCGCAGAUAUUAGAAAAAAAGAUUUGGACCCAAAGUGAGUUGGUCAACACUUUAUAAGAUACGAGAAAAGGUAUUUUAAAAACACGAAGAAUGCCGCCUACACUUAGAAUUGGUAGUAUACCAUAAUACUGCCGGGACCACUUUGAACAAUGUCUCUUUCCUCCUUCAAGACAGUAGGGCGCAAAGUAAAAGAAUUCGUGAGUUUUAGCAGGUAAAGCGAUUACAAUAAACCUAUCUAAACGUUAAAAUGGCAGCUACUCACUACUGACACAAUUUCGAUGAAAUAUAAACUGAGGGAAAAGGAUCAACACCCAAGCCAUUACGUAGAAUAUAACAGAGUAAUGUUUAUCUCUAUUUUAUGCAAAAUAUGCUGCAAACGUUUUAAAUGCGAGCCGCCGUAUCGAGGACCAACGCAUCGUCAAACUCCAGCCGAGAGAAAUUCGAAAUUUCUAGCUUGUAAACUCAAAAUUUAAACGAGCUAAUUGAGAGAGCAUCUGCCCUGUCAUUCAAUCAAUCUGCUAGAAAUAGCAACGAAAUCUCAAUCAUGUCACAACCUAAUAUCUUUUUUUAAAAAAAUGGCAAAAUACAUUGGGCAAUGGUAACGCAACACAGUAAAACUGUUUUGAUAAGUAAAUAUUCGUCAGGAAAAUUGACCCGGGGCUCACUGUCGUCAUCAUUAUCGUCCUCAUCAUUAUCACCAUCCUUAUCAUCAUCAUCAUCAUCAUCAUCAUCAUCAUCAUCAUCAUCGUCGUCGUCGUCGUCGUCAUCGUGCUAACAAGGUCGCCACUACUUAAUGGUUCUACCUUCUAGAAACAGCAAUAUCUUCCUCAAAAAGAAAAAGUAAAAGAAAAAAAUCACCUUAUAUAAUGUAUUCUUAAAUGCACUGUAUUUUAAACAAAAAUACUGAAUUGUCUCGUUCGAACACUUUUUAGCAUUAGGUUUUUUCUUCCCGUCCCCAGAGUUGAUCUGGGC
rnacentral:lncRNA from 1 species